GAUGAACGCUGGCGGCGUGCCUAAUACAUGCAAGUCGAGCGAACGGACCAGAAGCUUGCUUCUCUGAUGUUAGCGGCGGACGGGUGAGUAACACGUGGAUAACCUACCUAUCAGACUGGGAUAACUUCGGGAAACCGUAGCUAAUACCGGAUAAUAUUUUGCACCGCAAGGUUCAAGAGUGAAAGACGGUAUUGCUGUCACUUAUAGCUGGAUCAGCGCUUCAUUCACUAGUUGGUAGGGUAACGGCUUAACAAGGCAAGGAUGCAUAGCCGACCUGAGAGGGACGUUGCCUACCUGGUAUCUGAGACUCGUCCCACACUCCGACGGUAGGCAACAGUACGGAAUCUUCCGGGAUGGAGCAAAGCCUAACGUAGCAACGCCGCGUGAGUCAUGAAGGUCUUCUGAUCGUAGAACUAUGUUAUUAGUGAAGAUCAUAUGUGUAAGUAACCGUGCUCAUCUUGACGGUACCUAAUCAGAAAGCCACGGCUAACUCCGUG
rnacentral:rRNA from 1 species